AUUGAACGCUGGCGGCAUGCUUUACACAUGCAAGUCGAACGGCAGCGCGGGCUUCGGCCUGGCGGCGCGUGGCGAACGGGUGAGUAAUGCAUCCGAACGUGCCCAGUAGUGGGGGAUAGCCCGGCGACAGCCGGAUUAAUACCGCAUACGACCUGAUGGUGAAAGCGGGGGACCGAAAGGCCUCGCGCUUUUUGAUCGGCCGAUGUCGGAUUAGCUAGUUGGUUGGGUAAAGGCUUACCAAGGCGACGAUCCGUAGCUGGUCUGAGAGGACGACCAGCCACACUGGGACUGAGACACGGCCCAGACUCCUACGGGAGGCAGCAGUGGGGAAUGUUGGACAAUGGGGGCAAGCCUGAUCCAGCCAUGCCGCGUGAGGGAAGAAGGCCUUCGGGUUGUAAAACGCUUUUGUUAGGGAAGAAAAACUCUGGGAUAAUACACGGGGGGGAUGACGGUACCGGAAGAAUAAGCACCGGCUAACUACGUG
rnacentral:rRNA from 1 species